rnacentral:rRNA from 1 species
GGGAUUAGAUACCCCACUAUGCUUAGCCUUAAAUCUAGAUGUUAACUUUACAAGUGGCAUCCGCCAGGGUACUACAAGCGCUAGCUUAAAACCCAAAGGACUUGACGGUGUCUCAGACCCACCUAGAGGAGCCUGUUCUAGAACCGAUAAUCCCCGUUAAACCUCACCACCCCUUGUCUUCUCCGCCUAUAUACCGCCGUCGCAAGCUUACCCUGUGAAGGGCCCAUAGUAAGCAAAAUGGGUACGUCCCCAAACGUCAGGUCGAGGUGUAGCUUACGAGGUGGGAAGAAAUGGGCUACAUUUUCUGCAUCAGAAUAUUACGAACGGCACCAUGAAAGUGGUGCUUGAAGGUGGAUUUAGUAGUAAUGAAGAAAUAGAGAGUCUUUUUGAACUAGGCUCUGAGACGCGCACACACCGCCC